CGGCGGCGGCGGCGGCGGCGGCGGCGGCGGCUGGAGGCCUCCGCCGCCCUCUCGCCGUCGUCGGCCGAAUAUUAUCAUGAACCGAACGGAACGAUGCGAUGGGGACAGCAAGCAGCGGAGAGCAGGACUCGGCCUGCCUGCCUGCCUGCCUGCCUGUCUGUCUGCCUCUGUAUUUAAAAUGUGACUCGUCUAUCGCAAGAAACACAUGGAGGAGUGUGGUACAUACGCGGUGAUGAAGAUUCUCGCCGCGCUGCCGCCGCAGAUUGAUGGCGAACGAAUCGAAUCCACCAACGACGAGGCUUCACAGGUGCGACAGUAAUAUUUUAUUAUAAUAAUGUAUUUAUUAUUUUCACAUAAAUUUUGCUGUUGUAUUAUUUAAUCUAUAUGAGUGAUAAUAUGAAAUGAAACAUUGGUAUAAUGUAUAAUUAUUAUGUACCUACUCUAAAGACGUUUUAUGACAUUGACGCACUUAUUUAUAGUAAUUGUUAUUACAAAUAAAAUUUGUUUGACUUAUUUAAUAUAUUUUUUUACAAAACCCCAUUUUUAU